GGUCCUCAAUGCUCUUCAACUUCGUACUUUAUUUGGCCUUUUUAACUUUUUUGGAUUCGAGCGUCACUGAUGAGUCUUUUGUAGACGAAACGUGCGUCUGGCGUAUAUACUAAAUUUAGUCCUUGUAUCUAUGAUGAGUUUAUUUACAACCAAUGGGUCGAUGCCACUGCUGAUGGAGAUUUAUUUCCCCGAGGGUAUCACAAGCCCAGUAGUCAGCACAUUUUG
rnacentral:lncRNA from 1 species